rnacentral:rRNA from 1 species
UACGUAGGUCCCGAGCGUUGUCCGGAUUUAUUGGGCGUAAAGCGAGCGCAGGUGGUUUAUUAAGUCUGGUGUAAAAGGCAGUGGCUCAACCAUUGUAUGCAUUAGAAACUGGUAGACUUGAGUGCAGGAGAGGAGAGUGGAAUUCCAUGUGUAGCGGUAAAAUGCGUAGAUAUAUGGAGGAACACCGGUGGCGAAAGCGGCUCUCUGGCCUGUAACUGACACUGAGGCUCGAAAGCGUGGGGAGCAAACAGG